GAUGAAGAACGUAGCGAAAUGCGAUAAGUAAUGUGAAUUGCAGAAUUCAGUGAAUCAUCGAAUCUUUGAACGCAUCUUGCGCUCCUUGGUAUUCCGAGGAGCAUGCCUGUUUGAGUGUCAUUUUAACUUCUCAACCAUAUCGAAUUGUUUUUCGAGGUGGCUUGGACAUGUGGGUUUUUGCAGGCUUUAAUAAUGAAGUCGGCUCCUCUGAAAUGCAUUAGUGGUAUCUGAAGCAGAACUGCUACUAUUAGGUGUGAUAAUUAUCUAUGCCUCUUGGUAUACUGCAUGAACAGAUUGCGCUGCUUCCAACUUGUCCACCCUUUGGUGUUUGACAAAUUUGACCUCAAAUCAGGUAGGACUACCCGCUGAACUUAAGCAUAUCAAUAAGCGGAGGA
rnacentral:misc_RNA from 1 species